rnacentral:piRNA from 1 species
UAAGUUACAGUGUUAUAGAAUAUUUUCA